rnacentral:ncRNA from 1 species
CAAUUAUUACUUAAUAUACACAUGCAAGUCUCCGCACCCCUGUGAAAACGCCCUUAAAUCCCCACUAGGGAUAAGGAGCUGGUAUCAGGCACAAUAUUUAGCCCAAAACACCUAGCUAUGCCACACCCACACGGGAAUUCAGCAGUGAUUAACAUUGAAAAUAAGCGACAGCUUGACUCAGUUAAAGUAAAAAGAGCCGGCAAAUCUGGUGCCAGCCGCCGCGGUUACACCACGUGGCUCAAAUUGACCCCCCUUCGGCGUAAAGCGUGAUUAAAGUUUUUACUAAAUUAUAGCUGAACUAAAACUAAGCUGUGACACGCUUGUAUUUAGGAAAAUCAAAAACGAAAGUUACUGUAAUUAAAACAACUUGAACCCACGACAGUUGAGACACAAACUGGGAUUAGAUACCCCACUAUGCUCAACCGUAAACUUUAAAUUACACCAAUAUCGCCCGGGAACUACGAGCAAAGCUUAAAACCCAAAGGACUUGACGGUACCCCACAUCCCCCUAGAGGAGCCUGUCCUGUAAUCGACAACCCCCGUUCAACCUCACCAUUUUUAGCCUAUCAGCCUGUAUACCUCCGUCGUCAGCUUACCACGUGAGCGACCCUAAGUGAGCCUAAUGCCCACACGCCAACACGUCAGGUCAAGGUGCAGCAAAUAAAAUGGGAAGAGAUGGGCUACACUCUCUACUGUAGAAAAUACGAAAGACUAUUUAUGAAACCUAGUCAGAAGGCGGAUUUAGUAGUAAAAAGAGACAAGAGCGCUCUUUUUAACACGGCACUGGGGUGUGUACACACCGCCCGUCACCCUCUUCAAAGCUAACAGAAAGUCCAUAACACACCUAAGCACAAUAGAAGAGGCAAGUCGUAACAUGGUAAGUAUACCGGAAGGUGUGCUUGGAAACAAAAUAUAGCUUAACCAAAGCAUCUUUACACCGAGAAAAUAUCUGUUAAACCCGGAUUAUUUUGAGCUAAUAAUCUAGCCCCCAAUAUCAAAUGAAACCAUUGACUUUAUAAUAUAAACUAAAACAUUUUAUAAACUUAGUAAAGGCGAUUAAAAAAUUGAUAGGAGCAAUAAAAAAGGUACCGCAAGGGAAA